rnacentral:lncRNA from 1 species
CCUCCUUCAGUUCUAGUCCCCCUGAAGCAUCUCUCCUGAGAGCCAGUCCUGGACCUCGACCCUUGGCUGCCCAGCCAGCACUCAUGAGUAUAAUUCCUGCUGAUAAUCUACAACAUUGACUUGUACAUGGGAAGGCAAACAUUUGUUAGAAAUUCUUUCUGCUACCUUUGAUCGGAAUGAAAGAAAAAAAAUCAAGAGAUAUUAAAAUCAACUACAAAGGCAAAGGAACCUGUCUUUUCAGAAUCACCAAUUACAACAUGGUUAUUGAUAUCAUGGAAGGAUCUAAAUUGGCUCUUUUUGCAUAUUGAAGAAAAGAACUGCUGCCUCAUUAUGGUCUUUUUCAAUUAAAAUGAACUCAUGUUGAUAGACAAAUAUUUGCAUUGCUAUAAUAUUGGAUUAAUAACACUCACAG